CAAAGGUGGUGGCUUUUGGCAGCUGAUCUGUUUGCAUUACAAAGACCGUUACUUACAGUUCUUUUUCAAAAGUAGUCAAGCUCAGUACUUCACAGGUAAAUUUCGAAUCAUGUUAUUAACAACUUUCUGCCAUAGGCUUGCACAACUGGUUUUAAACUGCUUAUUGUUGUAAGGCAGUUUGCGACUACUUUAUGACAGGGCCAAUUAGAAAUAAUCUUGGGAAAAUGCUUCUAAAAUGCUGCGUUAUUAAAACACUCACAUAACAGUAUUCAUUUGGUUCUGUCACUAAGUAGCUGUCUGAGGGAUUUCUUGUGUUCUCUGAGUUUAAUAGUCACUGGCCCUGGGAAAACAAGCUAGAGGAGAAUUUUAGCUGCAACCCAGCUCUUGGAAGUUUUUUUUUUUUUUUUUAAUUUAAGUUUUAAAUUCAAACAUGACAAGAUUAAAAAGUUUAUGUCAUAUCAUUAAUUGCUAGUGGGAGAGUUGGUAAUAACUAUAGAUGCUAAUCACUUUAAUAAUUGGUGGAAAGCUAUAAACAAACCAUUUAGGGAAAGGAAUGUGCAAAAAUAUUAAUAAACACCUUCCCAAUUAGUUCAGGAAAAAUAACUUGCAAAAUAUAAUGCAGGAUGUUUCUUAAAUCUUUGUCUUCAACGAAAAAAAAACUAAGUACAUAUAUAACCACACACACAAACAGAGAUGUGAGUGAGAUUUACUGGAAUGGAAGAAUUUCUAACAAGUAUAAUUAAUAUAUUCACUGAAUAAAUAGCUCAAAUAUAAUUAAUUUAUGCAUUUAUCAAACCUGCUCCAAUGAAAAAAAUUCCUUCCCAUAAUUUCUUUGGAGGUAAUGCCUUCGUGAAGACAAUAAUAGAUUUAAUAUCAUUGAAAUUCAGAAUCUAUGGACUUCCUGUCAGGGCUAGAUAACUUGUAUAGUAAUAAUAGAAGUGUACUUAGUUCUUAUUUUAAUUCUGGGAGAAUUAGGAAGGUAUCUGAAAACUGUUGCAUGAAUUUAAUAGUCUUUGAAAGGAACUCAAAUAAUGGAUUUUAGAUCUUAUUUUUAGAAAGCACAUAGUUAUAUAUAAUAGCUGCUCAAUGUAUAUUAUUUUGGUGUAUUGAAUUAUCCUUGAAAUAUAUGACCUAUAAACAAAGUUAAAUUAGCAUUGGCUGACAGGAGUCUGAAGUUGAGGAUGUUGAACAUUCUAUGGAAUAGCUUGAAAACUGUUUAGGAGCUUUAAAUAUGAAGUUAUCACCAUCACUAAUUCAUGGCAAGUGGGUUUGUUUGAAAAUAAUGGGAGAAAAAUAAUUUGGUAGGUCUUCAUCUUUAGAGUUUGUAGUAUAUGCCUCUUGAGUGUCUCAGAUGGUGAAAAUACCUAGACAGCAUGCAAGUAGGAAUUAAUUGACAAAUUUGUAUUUGCAUUGUUUCAUAAAAUAACUCUGUGACAAUUUGUGGAUACUUAGAUUAAUAUAAAAAAGUAAAAAGUUUAGCUGUCCCCAAGUAAGGUUACUGAGUUACUUAGAUUUUCACACUGAAGACUCAUGUUCAAUGAUAGCCUAAAAUCUGAGUUAGCAGAUAUGUUAUGGGACACAAGUGAUUCAAACAGCACAGUACAAAUACUGCAUAUAUUUCUGCCAAAUUCGUCUCAGAUGGACUAGCUGCUAAGGAAGAAUCCAUAGCAUGACUGAGUUACAGAAAGUGUGUUACCUUUCCAAUACUAAUUCCUCCAUUUACACACUGUAUUCACUGACAAGAGAGAGAAGUUGUAUUUCUUUCGUUUUUCUGGACUUCAGCCUUAAGGUGCAUAUUGCCAAUUCAAAAUAUAUGAUGUGAACAAUGUUUAUUUUAACCAAUAAUUAUUAUUAAGGCAAAAUUAUUUUCUUAGCCAAUAGAAAUUGCAAUUUGGCUGUAUUUAAGCUAAAUUUAGCACCAUUUUAUUAGAGAUUGUUUAAUUCAAUUUUGAGUUUUCAAAUUGCAUUUUAUGCUAUAAAGAGCACUUCUGUAUAAAGUGUAGUUUGAAAAGAGAAAAAUAUUUAUGCUUUUAUCAUUUUAAGUGAUCAAAUACUGCAGUGGCAGAUAUUAGAAUAUCAUGUGCAUCAAUACAUUAUUAACUUAAUCUAAUGCUCAGAGUCAUUACCACAUUCAUGGGUGUCUUUCUGAUAUCUCUCCAGUCCACUGGAUUUUGAAGUGUGAUUAUGUAAAUUUUCUACUGAUAAAUAAAUGACUAUAAUUGUACUUGAAAUACCACUCAAAUUCUUAAGACCAUGGCAUCUAAAUAAUAUAUUAUGCAUUCCUUAAUUAUUUAUCAAGACUAAUUCAAAAUAACUGUAGGGUAAAGCAUACAUUUAUUUUUAAAUAGCCAUCCCCUUCCCCAAUUUUUUCUGUACCAGGUUAAAAAAUAUUCCAGAUGGUGAAAAUAUUGAGAGAUGAGAAAAAGGUUGUUGAGUAGAGUGAGUAAGCAGCAAGUUUAUCCUUCGAAGAAAUAACAGGUUUGCCCAAUAAUACUGUCACUGUAAUGCAAUUUCUGCAGUAUGUGAUCUUAAUGCCAGUUCAAUGGGGGUAUUUUGUUGACAGAGGAAACCAUGUUUAAUGUUACACUUAGUGUAGAAAAUUCUUCACCAUUCCUGGACAAGGAAAAAGGGAAAAGUUAGCAAACAAAAACAUUUUGCCCGUGGGUAUUUUUUUAAAGUUCUUUUGUAAACAUAGUAGGGAAAUUGUAAUCUUGAGUUAGAAAAUUUGACGAAGGGUUACUUAAUCAAGUGAUACUAGAUUCAAAGUAUAGCUCUUCUUCAUUUAAUUAUAGCUAUAGAAAAUCAUAGUAACCGAAUGGUGCCUUUUCAUUGUUUAAUAUCGAAAGGCAGUAUUCAGGACUCUUGAUGCACUGUGCCUUUAAAAGAAGUGUGUGUGUGUGUGUGUGUGUGUGUGUGUGUGUGUGUUUUACCUACAUAAAUUCUAAUUGCAGAAGCUACUCUAAUCACCAUGUAGAAAUCAUCUGAAGCCUCGUAAGUUCAUGAGGUACACACUUUUCUUUUUUCUUCUGCAGACCACACCUUAUCUGGUUGCUAAUGAAAUACAGGAGAUUGAUUGCAAAAAAUCUUCAAGGGAAUAUUUGCUGUACCACAUGUAGUAAGCUCCAUUUGGUGCAUUAGCAUUUAGCCAUUUUAUGCAAAUUUAGAGAAAAUGACUCAUGUAUAUGAUUUAAUAUGCAUCAGCGAUAACUCAUACCACCCUU
rnacentral:lncRNA from 1 species